GCUGUCUUAGCUCAGCAGGCAGAGCACUUCCUUGGUAAGGAAGAGGUCGGCGGUUCGAAUCCGCUAGACAGCUCCA
rnacentral:tRNA from 1 species